AACGCUGAGGUGUGAUGACGAGGCACUACGGUGCUGAAGUAACAAAUGCCCUGCUUCCAGGAAAAGCCUCUAAGCAUCAGGUAACAACGAAUCGUACCCCAAACCGACACAGGUGGUCAGGUAGAGAAUACCAAGGCGCUUGAGAGAACUCGGGUGAAGGAACUAGGCAAAAUGGUGCCGUAACUUCGGGAGAAGGCACGCUGAUGGUAGGUGAAGUGACUUGCUCAUGGAGCUGAAAUCAGUCGAAGAUACCAGCUGGCUGCAACUGUUUAUUAAAAACACAGCACUGUGCAAACACGAAAGUGGACGUAUACGGUGUGACGCCUGCCCGGUGCCGGAAGGUUAAUUGAUGGGGUUAUCCGUAAGGAGAAGCUCUUGAUCGAAGCCCCGGUAAACGGCGGCCGUAACUAUAACGGUCCUAAGGUAGCGAAAUUCCUUGUCGGGUAAGUUCCGACCUGCACGAAUGGCGUAAUGAUGGCCAGGCUGUCUCCACCCGAGACUCAGUGAAAUUGAACUCGCUGUGAAGAUGCAGUGUACCCGCGGCAAGACGGAAAGACCCCGUGAACCUUUACUAUAGCUUGACACUGAACAUUGAGCCUUGAUGUGUAGGAUAGGUGGGAGGCUUUGAAGCGUGGACGCCAGUCUGCGUGGAGCCAACCUUGAAAUACCACCCUUUAAUGUUUGAUGUUCUAACGUAGACCCGUGAUCCGGGUUGCGGACAGUGUCUGGUGGGUAGUUUGACUGGGGCGGUCUCCUCCCAAAGAGUAACGGAGGAGCACGAAGGUUAGCUAAUCCUGGUCGGACAUCAGGAGGUUAGUGCAAUGGCAUAAGCUAGCUUGACUGCGAGCGUGACGGCGCGAGCAGGUGCGAAAGCAGGUCAUAGUGAUCCGGUGGUUCUGAAUGGAAGGGCCAUCGCUCAACGGAUAAAAGGUACUCCGGGGAUAACAGGCUGAUACCGCCCAAGAGUUCAUAUCGACGGCGGUGUUUGGCACCUCGAUGUCGGCUCAUCACAUCCUGGGGCUGAAGUAGGUCCCAAGGGUAUGGCUGUUCGCCAUUUAAAGUGGUACGCGAGCUGGGUUUAGAACGUCGUGAGACAGUUCGGUCCCUAUCUGCCGUGGGCGCUGGAGAAUUGAGGGGGGCUGCUCCUAGUACGAGAGGACCGGAGUGGACGCAUCACUGGUGUUCGGGUUGUCAUGCCAAUGGCAUUGCCCGGUAGCUAAAUGCGGAAAAGAUAAGUGCUGAAAGCAUCUAAGCACGAAACUUGCCCCGAGAUGAGUUCUCCCUGACUCCUUGAGAGUCCUGAAGGAACGUUGAAGACGACGACGUUGAUAGGUCGGGUGUGUAAGCGUAGCGAUACGUUGAGCUAACCGAUACUAAUGAACCGUGAGGCUUAACCUU
rnacentral:rRNA from 1 species